UACAGAGGUCCCAAGCGUUGUUCGGAUUCAUUGGGCGUAAAGGGUGCGUAGGUGGCGCGCUAAGUCGGGUGUGAAAUUUCGGAGCUUAACUCCGAAACUGCAUUCGAUACUGGCGUGCUCGAGGACUGGAGAGGAGACUGGAAUUCAUGGUGUAGCAGUGAAAUGCGUAGAGAUCAUGAGGAAGACCAGUGGCGAAGGCGGGUCUCUGGACAGUUCCUGACACUGAGGCACGAAGGCCAGGGGAGCAAACGGGG
rnacentral:rRNA from 1 species